rnacentral:rRNA from 1 species
UAGGCCUAACACAUGCAAGUCGAGCGGUAACAGGGGUCAGCGUGCUGAUUUGCUGACGAGCGGCGGACGGGUGAGUAAUGUCUGGGAAACUGCCCGAUGGAGGGGGAUAACCACUGGAAACGGUGGCUAAUACCGCAUAAUGUCGCAGGACCAAAGUGGGGGACCUUCGGGCCUCACACCAUCGGAUGUGCCCAGAUGGGAUUAGCCAGCUGGUAGGGUAAUGGCCUACCAGGGCGACGAUCCCUAGCUGGUCUGAGAGGAUGGCCAGCCACACUGGGACUGAGACACGGCCCAGACUCCUACGGGAGGCAGCAGUGGGGAAUAUUGGACAAUGGGCGAAAGCCUGAUCCAGCAAUGCCGCGUGAGUGAUGAAGGCCCUAGGGUUGUAAAGCUCUUUUACCCGGGAUGAUAAUGACAGUACCGGGAGAAUAAGCUCCGGCUAACUCCGUGCCAGCAGCCGCGGUAAU